AAAAAAAAACUCCAACGGCUACGGCAGUCUGCAACGGCAUGGAUUUGCCGACGCCAAUAGUCCCAUUUUAGCGACUGCAAUUGUCGGCGUCGCACUAACAGGAAUGGGAUGCGACGGCAUGGCGUGUCCGUGGCAUGUUUUUAAUAUCAAGAGCGACGGAGAAUCAAACGCGGUGGCUAAUAAAACUUGAAAUGCGUUUUGAAAAAAUAGAAAACCAUUUGCUUCGGGAAAAGAAGCAAAACAGAUCUCUCCCCCUCAGAUUUACUUUCUAUCCUUCUCUUCAUCUCGUCGACAAAUAACCGAUUAUGUGGAGAAUCUCUCAUCACCUCCUUGACGAUUAAUGUAGCUUCUCUCGGAACAAUGCUCCCUCACUUUCAGAAAUGAACUUGGGAGUACUGGGACUAGUUGUUCUACAAUGAUUAGCUCAAGGAAGCAGAGAUUAUCAGGGCAGAAAUGGUCAUACAAGGUCUAUGAAGUUUUUUCCGAGUUAGUUGUGUACUAGAGGAAUGCCACAACUCAGUUUGUUUCUUUUUAUAGGUUGGGCUAAAAGGAGAAGCCAUGAAUCUCUGUUCUCCAACUUCCACCUCUAUCUGCAGUGAAUUGGAGGAGGGUGUUUAUAGGGACACAAAAUCAACAGCCACUGACUUGGUAUAAGUGAUACUUGAACCCUCAUGCCAAUUCUGAUGCACCUGAAGGAGAUGAGCCUUUGGCUUUGGACAUGGGAAGCAUGCAUGGGGAAGGGUCAAGUAUGAUUCAAUGGGGAGAGCAUUGGAAGAUACUGGACUAUUCAUGCUAAUGGUAAUUGGUAUAGCUAAUCCACUUGGACAUGGGAAUCGUUACAAACUGAAUCUAUUAGCUUGCAAUCCACCAGUUCAAUAUAUUGCAAGGUUGUUCUUCAUGAAUAUUUGGGUUCAAGUUUCAUUGGGAUUUGUCAUGAUUGAGUGCUAGUAUAUAUGAACAUAUAUAUUCUCUUGAUUUCUUUUAUAAGCACAUACUUGUUUGUUCAUAAUCUCUUGGUGCUGUAUGUUCAAGAAGGGGUUUUGAUUCUGAGGCCGGAGGCUGAGCUCAUUGUUGAUUUGAUGGGUGAUGUGGUGAAGGAUAAGGAGGGUUUUAGAGAGGGUUUGUGGGAGACUGGGAGUGGGGCUAUUGCUAUUGGGAUUGGGAGGUUUUUGGGGACUGGUGUCAGAGUCAUUGCAACUGAUUUGAGUCUCACUGCGAUUUCGGUUGCGGGUUUUAAUGUGGAGAGGGAGGUAUGGUUUACAGUGAGAUUAUGCACGCGGCACUACAAAAAAGAAUUGCAAUGGCUACACAUAGUUAGCAUCGGCCAAGGGAACAUGGAUGUUGUAGUUAUAGCGCUGCAGAAUUAGUUUAAUAUCCGGGAAUUAUAUCUUUGGUCCACUGCCCAUUGACAUCAUAAAGAGCUGGACUAAUAUCGAAACUUUGCUGUCAAAACAAUUUCGUCAAGUCCGUCUAUUACUUUCUGUUUUGAUAUUCAUGGAGAUAUGCACAAGAGUACUCGCAGCAGCCCCCUAUUCAGGAACUAAUUGGAAGGGAUCUUCAUGAUAUAUAAUGAAUGGAAAUUCAGACAUAUUUCGAGGAGGCUUGCAACAACACUAGAGUAAUUGGUACAUGAAGUAGAUCGAGGAAGAUCCCUGCAAAGUUCAUCUUGAAGUAGCUAGAGGAAAAUAACUAACUUGUAAAGCUUAAUUAUCGAUCUUGUAAAUUUUGGUAGAAGCUUCAUUCAUUUUGUAACAUUUAUGAGGAAAAUUAAAGUGUAACAUUUCCUUUUAUAUAAGCUUCAUUCCUUUUUG